rnacentral:rRNA from 1 species
UUUUUAAAGAAAUUAUUUUAAGUAAAAUCUGCUCAAUGAAUUUUAAAUAGCCGCAAUUAAUUAUUGUGCUAAGGUAGCAUAAUCACUUGCCUUUUAAUUAAAGGAUAGAAUGAAAGAUUACACAUUUUAAUUUCUAUAUGAAACCUAAAUAAUAAAUUUAUAUUAAAUAUAAAAAUAUAUUUAUAAAAAAAAAAGACGAUAAGACCCUAUUGAACUUAACUUCAGUUUAGUUGGGGAAACUAAUUAAUAAAAAUUUUAAUUUAAAAUUUAAAACAAAAAACUUAUAAAAUAAAUUUUAAACAAGUUACCAUAGGGAUAACAGCGUAAUUAUUUUCAAAAGCUCAUAUUUAAAAAAUAGAUUACGACCUCGAUGUUGAAUAAAAUUUCUUUAAAAUGCAAUAAUUUUACAAGUAAAUCUGUUCGAUUUUUAAAAUUUUACA